GCAGCUGACCUGCUGGCUUAAAGAAGGAAGCCACAAAACCCAUCGCUCAAAUCAUGGAAAAUCCAAACUUUUUACGGCUGGAAUUGGGGAUUGCUCAGGACAGAUGCGCCGAAUUUGUGCUAAGAAUAGCCGUGCGGUAGAGGAAAGGCAGGAAAUGGGUUCAACGGCAAUUUGGGAAAGAGAUGCUGGGUUUGGUAGCAUAGCUGGUUGGGACUGACUUGCUCAGAAUAGGUAGGCUGAAUUUUGCACAGAAUAGGCUUCAAUGCAAUUUGAGGGGUCUUCAAUGCAAUUUGAGGGGAAUGCAAUUUGAGGGGAAAACGGGGCAAUAGCAAAAGAAGGAAAACAAAGGCAACAAAUGGGUUCAACGGCGGUAGCAUAGCUGGUUGGGACUGACUUGCUCAGAAUAGGUAGGCUGAAUUUUGCACAGAAUAGGCUUCAAUGCAAUUUGAGGGGUCUUCAAUGCAAUUUGAGGGGAAUGCAAUUUGAGGGGAAAACGGGGCAAUAGCAAAAGAAGGAAAACAAAUAGAAGACUAAACAACUUGCCACUUGUCAGAUACAUAACAAACCACGUGGCAAGAGGAAAGCAAAGCAUUAAAUCUGGCUCUUUUCUUAUAUACUAG
rnacentral:lncRNA from 1 species